rnacentral:lncRNA from 1 species
GUAAAAUUGCUUCAAAAUAAACAUUUUUGAAAAAGAGUUGUUCCUUACACUCUGAAAGGUGAACAUAACUUGAGUUUUUCAGUGCUGUUGCCAGAGUGGAAAGUUUUCAGCAAAGAAGCAUUAAGGAUAUUUCAUUGACUGCAGAUAGCAUUGCGUAAAUAUUUGACAAGUUACCUUGGUAAUUAGUAGCCUUAGAGUGACAUUUCACCUGAGUUUUUACCAAGAUAACAUUCAUUCUGUUAACCUUUUGUUCUUUAUUGAGUGUUUAUCCCUUGCUCUAACUUCAAAGUAUACAAAGUAUAAUAGGGUCUUUCUUUAAGUGCAGUUUGGUAUUAGUUUGACUCAUUUUAGACCUCAUUUUAGAAGAUUAGUUUCUAAAGGAUCAGAAAAAUGCCAAAUGGUAAUCU